UUGAACGCUGGCGGCAGGCCUAACACAUGCAAGUCGAGCGGAUGAGAGGAGCUUGCUCCUUAAUUCAGCGGCGGACGGGUGAGUAAUGCCUAGGAAUCUGCCUGGUAGUGGGGGACAACGUUUCGAAAGGAACGCUAAUACCGCAUACGUCCUACGGGAGAAAGCAGGGGACCUUCGGGCCUUGCGCUAUCAGAUGAGCCUAGGUCGGAUUAGCUAGUUGGUGAGGUAAUGGCUCACCAAGGCGACGAUCCGUAACUGGUCUGAGAGGAUGAUCAGUCACACUGGAACUGAGACACGGUCCAGACUCCUACGGGAGGCAGCAGUGGGGAAUAUUGGACAAUGGGCGAAAGCCUGAUCCAGCCAUGCCGCGUGUGUGAAGAAGGUCUUCGGAUUGUAAAGCACUUUAAGUUGGGAGGAAGGGCAGUAAAUUAAUACUUUGCUGUUUUGACGUUACCGACAGAAUAAGCACCGGCUAACUCUGU
rnacentral:rRNA from 1 species